rnacentral:rRNA from 1 species
AUAGAUAUGACACAGAACACCGAUAGCGAAGGCAGCUCACUAAGCUAUUACUGACGCUGAGGCACGAAAGCUUGGGGAGCGAACAGGACUAGAUACCCUGGUAGUCCACGCUGUAAACGAUGAUAACUCGAUGUUGGUGUUUUUACACCAGCGUCCAAGCGAAAGUGAUAAGUUAUCCACCUGGGGAGUACGAUCGCAAGAUUGAAACUCAAAGGAAUUGACGGGGGCCCGCACAAGCGGAGGAGCAUGUGGUUUAAUUCGAUGAUACGCGAGGAACCUUACCUAGGCUUAAAUGUAGAAUGACCGUUCCCGAAAGGGGACUUUCCUUCGGGACAUUUUACAAGGUGCUGCAUGGUUGUCGUCAGCUCGUGCCGUGAGGUGUCGGGUUAAGUCCCUUAACGAGCGCAACCCCUAUUCUUAGUUGCCAGCUGAUAACGCCGGGGACUCUAAGGAAACUGCCUACGCAAGUAGUGAGGAAGGUGGGGAUGACGUCAAAUCAGCACGGCCCUUACGUCUAGGGCUACACACGUGCUACAAUGGUCGAUACAAAGGGCAGCUACCUGGUGACAGGAUGCUAAUCUCGAAAGUCGAUCUCAGUUCGGAUCGAAGUCUGCAACUCGACUUCGUGAAGUUGGAUUCGCUAGUAAUCGUGUAUCAGCAACGACACGGUGAAUACGUUCCCGGGCCUUGUACACACCGCCCGUCAAGCCAUGGAAGUUGGGAGUGCCUAAAGUCCGUAA